GCAGAGCUAACCGCCGCAAACAACCCAAGAAGCUGCUAACUCCGGCCACCGACCAAAACGGUUCCCAAGUGAACUUCUACUAUGGCGCUCCGACCCCGUAUGCCGAGAGCAUAGCUCCCAGUCAUCACUCGACAUACGCGCAUUACUACGAUGACGAAGAAGACGGCUGGGAGAUGCCGAACUUCUAUAACGAAACCUACAUGAAGGAGAGCCUCCACAACGGCGCCAAUGGCAAGAUGAACAGCCUAGCCAGAUCGAAUGCCAGCAUAUACGGCACCAAAGACGAUUUGUACGAUAGGCUGAAACGACAUGCCUAUCCAGGCAAAAAAGAUAAAAGUGACAGUGAAAGUGAGGGUCAAUGAACUAAUCUGGUCAUUUCUGUUUAAUGCUCAAGUAGCAAACGAAUAUCUAGUGAAUAUUUUUUGUUAACAUUAAGUAUUAAGUACCAUAUAAAUGUUAAUUUAUGAUAGAUAAAAUGUGUGAGAUCGAAGGGGUAUAUGAUACUGAAGGGACAAAAAAAAAAGAAGAAUAAUGAGAGAAUACUGUUACUAUCUGGUCAUAUAGGAGAAUGAGGGCCUAUUCAAGUAUCAUAUACCCCGCCGUUAAUUUUUUCUCAUGGACUUCUGUGCAUACAUUCGAAAUGGACUUUUUCAGAUCCUGUGAGACUUCGAGUGUUUAUUUUUGUUAAGUAUCUAACUGUAUUAUGAACUGCCGUCCAAUGUAGAUACUCGUAUAUGAAGAUUAAUGGCUAAAUCAAAUAAACAAUUAUGAAAUGUUUGAACAUUUCGCUCAAAUAAAAUAAAUAUUUGAAUUUCAAUAUUUACCGGAAAUGCUCUUUGAUUUCAUAACAUGAAAUUCACGAUCUAACUGGUAAUAAUUUCAGAAGGGACAAUAUUGUACUUUAUCCAAAAAGUACAAAGUGAAAAAAGUUGAUUGAUCAUAAUAUUUCAUUUGAGAAUUUCAAUAUUUAUCAGCUAAUUAUAUAAUCAGGUGAGGCUCCUUAGUUUGAUGGAAUUCCAAGUUAACUUAAAUAUUUCAAGACACGAAAACCUAUUCGAUUCUGCAGUAUUGCAAGUUUCAACGAUAACCCCUUGUAUCUACUUUAAUUAUAUGUCCAGUUCUAGACUACAUUGUUCGUCCUCUUGACCGGAUUAUACAAAAGAUAUGUCAAGAGAAUGAAUGACAGUUUGUUAAUGUAUAUAUCUAUAUGAUUAGGUAUUCUUACUUUGUAUGUAGAAAUUUAUUGAUGAAAUACAUCGCCAUUAUAUUCUUUAUUUUCUUUUUCUACUAACAAGUUUUUUGACAAAUUCUUUCAAUUUAUGAAUUCAAUAAGUGAUUAUCAAUAUCUCAUGUUAAUUGUGAGAACAUUUUUUUCACUCUGAAACAAGAAUGAAAUCAUAUAGUUUAAAAACAAUAUUUACUCAGUAAUAAUAAUAUCAUGAACAGAAAUGUUAUAUUUUUGAAAACAAAAAAAUUCAUAUUUCUUGGAAAUCACUUGUUGACAUUCAAUAUAUCUCAAGGGAAACAAACCUUGCAAAUUUUUGUAUUUUUGUACAACAUGAAUAUUUAUAUACAAUGAACUAUUUAAUUUUUGUAAUAUUUAUAGAUAUAAUUUGUUAUAGUUUUGUAAUUAUUUUUAUAUUUUAUAUAGAAGAGUGACUGUUUUUAUGGUUGAAUGGAAAGGAAGAUGACAACGAAUGUAUAGUUUUUAUACUUUUUUAAGAAUGACUGAAAAUAAAUUUGAUUCAUAUA